UACGGAGGUGGCGAGCGUUGUUCGGAAUCACUGGGCGUAAAGGGCGCGUAGGCGGGGAGGUAAGUCGGGUGUGAAAUCCCUCGGCUCAACCGAGGAACUGCGCCCGAGACUGCUUCUCUUGAGUCCCGGAGAGGAAGGUGGAAUUCCCGGUGUAGCGGUGAAAUGUGUAGAGAUCGGGAGGAACACCGGUGGCGAAGGCGGCCUUCUGGACGGUGACUGACGCUGAGGCGCGAAAGCGUGGGGAGCAAACGGG
rnacentral:rRNA from 1 species